rnacentral:rRNA from 1 species
UACGGGAGGCAGCAGUGGGGAAUUUUGGACGAUGGGGGAAUGCGUGAUCCAGCCAUACCGCGUGAGUGAAGAAGGCCUUCGGGUUGUAAAGCUCUUUCAGCCGGAAAGAAAUGGCUUCUAUUAAUACUAGGAGUUAGAUGACGGUACCCGCAGAAGAAGCACCGGCUAACUACGUGCCAGCAGCCGCGGUAAUACGUAGGGUGCGAGCGUUAAUCGGAAUUACUGGGCGUAAAGCGUGCGCAGGCGGUUUUUUAAGCCAGAUGUGAAAUCCCCGGGCUCAACCUGGGAACUGCAUUUGGAACUGGAAGACUAGAGUGUGGCAGAGGGGGGUAGAAUUCCACGUGUAGCAGUGAAAUGCGUAGAUAUGUGGAGGAAUACCAAUGGCGAAGGCAGCCCCCUGGGUUAACACUGACGCUCAUGCACGAAAGCGUGGGGAGCAAACAGGAUUAGAUACCCUGGUAGUCCACGCCCUAAACGAUGUCAACUAGUUGUUGGGGGAGGAGACUUCCUUAGUACCGCAGCUAACGCGUGAAG